rnacentral:rRNA from 1 species
GUGCCAGCAGCCGCGGUAAUACGAGUGGUGCAAGCGUUAUUCGGAAUCAUUGGGCGUACAGGGUGUGUAGGCGGUAUGUUAAGUCUGCUGUUAAAUCCUCCGGCCUAACCGGAGAUAGGCGGCGGAAACUGGCGUACUAGAGGGUGGAAGAGAGAAGUGGAAUUCUCGGUGUAGCGGUAAAAUGCGUAGAUAUCGAGAGGAACACCGAUGGCGAAGGCAGCUUCUUGGUCCAUUCCUGACGCUGAAACACGAAAGCGUGGGGAGCAAACAGGAUUAGAAACCCUCGUAGUCC